rnacentral:rRNA from 1 species
AUACGUAGGGGGCAAGCGUUGUCCGGAAUUAUUGGGCGUAAAGCGCGCGCAGGCGGUUCUUUAAGUCUGGUGUUUAAGUGCGGGGCUCAACCCCGUGACGCACUGGAAACUGGGGGACUUGAGUGCAGAAGAGGAGAGCGGAAUUCCACGUGCAGCGGUGAAAUGCGUAGAGAUGUGGAGGAACACCAGUGGCGAAGGCGGCUCUCUGGCCUGUAACUGACGCUGAGGCGCGAAAGCGUGGGGAGCAAACAGGAUUAGAUACCCUGGUAGUCCACGCCGUAAACGAUGAGUGCUAGGUGUCGGAGGGGUCCACCCUGCGGUGCCGAAGUCAACACAUUAAGCACUCCGCCUGGGGAGUACGGUCGCAAGACUGAA